CGACAUCGAGGCGAUGAAGAACCAGCGUGUCUCCGACAUGCUGUCUUCGUUCUACCCGAUGAUGAUCUGGGUAAGUCCCUCUUUCCUUUGUUUCCAACGUGGUUUCCGUAGGCUCGGCCUCCUGACAGUCGGUUUUGUUUUGUGCAGCUGGUUUACAACAUAUCCGAGCUAGAGGCCGGAUACCGGAAGUUCGGCGACAUGCGCGCAGCUUGGAGAGACAAAGUCGCGGCCGUUGAAGCCGACAAGGUUGUCUUGGUCGACCAGCUGCAGCAGUCGGUCGAAUGGAAGGGCCGACUCGAGGGGGAGGUCUCCUGACUUUCGGAGGAGGUCUCCCGACUCAAGGGAGCCUUGGCGACGUCGGAGUCGGAGCUGC
rnacentral:lncRNA from 1 species